AGUUCGAUCAUGGCUCAGGAUGAACGCUGGCGGCGUGCCUAAUACAUGCAAGUCGAACGAAACUUCUUUAUCACCGAGUGCUUGCACUCACCGAUAAAGAGUUGAGUGGCGAACGGGUGAGUAACACGUGGGCAACCUGCCCAAAAGAGGGGGAUAACACUUGGAAACAGGUGCUAAUACCGCAUAACCAUAGUUACCGCAUGGUAACUAUGUAAAAGGUGGCUAUGCUACCGCUUUUGGAUGGGCCCGCGGCGCAUUAGCUAGUUGGUGGGGUAAAGGCUUACCAAGGCAAUGAUGCGUAGCCGAACUGAGAGGUUGAUCGGCCACAUUGGGACUGAGACACGGCCCAAACUCCUACGGGAGGCAGCAGUAGGGAAUCUUCCACAAUGGGCGAAAGCCUGAUGGAGCAACGCCGCGUGGGUGAAGAAGGUCUUCGGAUCGUAAAACCCUGUUGUUAGAGAAGAAAGUGCGUGAGAGUAACUGUUCACGUUUCGACGGUAUCUAACCAGAAAGCCACGGCUAACUACGUGCCAGCAGCCGCGGUAAUACGUAGGUGGCAAGCGUUAUCCGGAUUUAUUGGGCGUAAAGGGAACGCAGGCGGUCUUUUAAGUCUGAUGUGAAAGCCUUCGGCUUAACCGGAGUAGUGCAUUGGAAACUGGGAGACUUGAGUGCAGAAGAGGAGAGUGGAACUCCAUGUGUAGCGGUGAAAUGCGUAGAUAUAUGGAAGAACACCAGUGGCGAAAGCGGCUCUCUGGUCUGUAACUGACGCUGAGGUUCGAAAGCGUGGGUAGCAAACAGGAUUAGAUACCCUGGUAGUCCACGCCGUAAACGAUGAAUGCUAAGUGUUGGAGGGUUUCCGCCCUUCAGUGCUGCAGCUAACGCAAUAAGCAUUCCGCCUGGGGAGUACGACCGCAAGGUUGAAACUCAAAGGAAUUGACGGGGGCCCGCACAAGCGGUGGAGCAUGUGGUUUAAUUCGAAGCAACGCGAAGAACCUUACCAGGUCUUGACAUCUUUUGACAAUCCUAGAGAUAGGACUUUCCCUUCGGGGACAAAAUGACAGGUGGUGCAUGGUUGUCGUCAGCUCGUGUCGUGAGAUGUUGGGUUAAGUCCCGCAACGAGCGCAACCCUUAUUGUUAGUUGCCAGCAUUAAGUUGGGCACUCUAGCAAGACUGCCGGUGACAAACCGGAGGAAGGUGGGGAUGACGUCAAAUCAUCAUGCCCCUUAUGACCUGGGCUACACACGUGCUACAAUGGACGGUACAACGAGUCGCAAGACCGCGAGGUUUAGCAAAUCUCUUAAAGCCGUUCUCAGUUCGGAUUGUAGGCUGCAACUCGCCUACAUGAAGUCGGAAUCGCUAGUAAUCGCGGAUCAGCAUGCCGCGGUGAAUACGUUCCCGGGCCUUGUACACACCGCCCGUCACACCAUGAGAGUUUGUAACACCCAAAGCCGGUGGGGUAACCUUUUGGAGCCAGCCGUCUAAGGUGGGAUAGAUGAUUAGGGUGAAGUCGUAACAAGGUAUCC
rnacentral:rRNA from 1 species